GGGCCGGUAGCUCAGUGGUUAGAGCAGGCGACUCAUAAUCGCUCGGUCGCGGGUUCGAUCCCCGCUCGGCCCACUA
rnacentral:tRNA from 1 species